CAAAGUUGAGCUAACAUGGCUACGGAUAACACUCCUAGAGUUCCGCAGGGACUAAGAAAUCUUAUGAAAAAUCUGACUAGAGAAAUUUUAAAGGAAAAACCAACAAAUAUUUAUCAUUUCGCCGAAAAUUAUUUUCUCUCCCUUCUACGUGAAAAGGAAAACUACGAUGUAAAAAACUAUGAACCGACUUAUAAAAAAUACGACUUCUCUAGUGUUAAAACUCCACUUAGCUACAAUAUUCCAAUGGCUUUGGCGUACACCGUCAUACCUGACGGUUUGACCGAACUCUUGAAAGAUAUUAUAAAGGCUGUUUUAAGAGAACAGCCCGAAAAUUUGUGUGAAUUCGCUGUUGAAUAUUUCCGACACUUGAGAAAUUCUAAUGAGUCGUAUGAAUCCAAACAUAUAACUUAUGAAGCAUAUGAAAACUAUUUUUUAAAUAAGGAUCGAUUUUUUUACACGCCUUUUGUUAAAUGUUUUUGUGGAAGAUUUUUGGGUCAAGGUUUAGGUGGUGGCCAACAAAUGAAUAUUCAUACUCAAUCGUUGGAGUUUUCUAAAAAUCGAACCUCUGACCUAAAUAAUUGUUGCCCCAAAUCCAAUUGGUCUUACGGUAAUACGGAAUGUGACGAGACCGCAGAAAUUGUGUCUCAAAAUAAAUACAAUCACUCGGCUCGUGUAAUACAACGUUAUUUUCGUCAAUACAUAAAAAAGAAGCGAGAGGGACGGGAAAUGAAUGAAGAAACGGCUGCACUAAUUAUCCAGAAAAGUUUGAGAAGGCUAUUCGGUUCGAGAAAAGGAGAGACUGGUAUUAAAUCGAAGGAAACAUUACAAGCUGUUCCUCAACUUCAGUUGACUCAUUUAGAAAAUGAUAACCUCUCCGAAGAGGCUUCAUACACAUCAGCUUCUACGGCAAUCCUUUCAGCAUCGGAGUCAGGUCGGGACUUUUUCGACGUAAGCACAUCAGAAAACAUAGUUAACAAGCCUAUUAUUGAAAGUGAAGAACAGGAUAAUGAUGAAGAAAAUUGCCAGAAAAGCGAAUUAAUGAAUGAGCCAAUAAAAGAAUUAAAUAAACUAAACGACAAAAUACCUGUUGACAAUAAUGGAAACCACAUUGGUGAAGAACAUAUAGACCGUAAACAUGUCCAUGCCCUUGAGGAAAGCUACAAUCAGGAUUCGCAUUUAAUAUCUGAGGUGGACCUUCUUGAAAAUCAGAGGAAAGAUAUAUCCUUUGACAAGGAGAAAAAUCUAAAUGAAGUAGAGUCGACAUCUCUAAACGAUAGCGAUUAUGGGUAUCAGGAAGAUAAUAGAAGGGAAAAUCAAAAAACGUCAACACUUGCUGAAUCUGGCAUUUCCGUGAAAUGCCUUCAAGAAGAAAAACAGGAGAUCAAUUAUCUUCAGAAACACGAGAAUGAUCUGAGUUCAAUUGCAGCAAACGUUGAGCAUGAUAAUCUGACAGAGAGAAACACUUCUACAACAAGGGAAGAUAGUGUUUUAAUUUCUGAUAAUAAUUGUUUAGAACUUGAUAAUGAUGCUCCAAAAACGAAUUCUCAUAAUGAAAGAGAUGAUGACACUAAUGACUGUGAAUCAGAAACUGUUGAUACCGUAACACAUAGCCCAGUUACGAAGGGAUCUACAUUGAAAAUAAGCCAUACAAAGGCAGUGGUUUUGGAUGCUGAAUCGUCUGAUCAAGAUUCGAAGAGUGACAAUAGGCGUUCCGAAGAUAUACCACAAGAAAACAAAGAACAAUUUAAAAUGGAGGAAUCAGAAACGACAGUUAAUAAUGAGGUUAAAACCGCUCAUGAUGAAAACCAGAAAGCUAUGCAAUAUGAAAUGCCUGAGAAUGGUCAAAAUACUACUAAAGCAGUAUUCAAUAUUCCAAUGCCAGCAGAGAAAAGUAGUUCUUCAAAUAAGGAGGACAGCGUUUUGAUUUAUGAUAAUAAUGAUACGAAUUUUGAUGAAAACACCCAAGCAAAAUCUCCUCAAAAUGAUAUAACUGCUGGCUCCAACGGUAACCACUCAAAUAUCGUUGAUACAUUGUCACAAAGUCCUGUUCCAACCGCGUGUACACUAGAAGAAAACAAUGCACAUGAAUUGAUUUUAGAAAAGGUUUCGAAUGAUCAUGUUUUGCAGAGUGGUACUGAAUUUCGGGAAUUGAAGGCUUCUGCAGAUAUACCAGGAGAAAUCAUUGACAAAAAUCUGCAAGUUAUCAAUCACGAAAUGCGUAAUAAUGAUCACAAUAGUGUUAACUCAGUACUCAGUAUUUCAGCUCCGGCAGAGAAAGUUAUUUGUUCGAAAAAGGAGGACAGUGUUUUGAUUUCGGAAAAUAAUGAUACGGAACUUGACCAGGACGCCCAAGAAAAAUCUUCCCAGAAUGUUAUAAAAGCUGAUCCAAACUUAAUUAUCACUGAUACAUUACACCGGAGUCUCAUUCCUAAUGUACUUUCAUUGGAAUCAAACAAUACAAAAGAAUUGCUUUUAGAAAAGGAAUCGACUGAUCAGGAUUCAAAGAGUGGAACCGUGAUAUCAGAAGAAACACUGGAAGAUCACAGAGAAUCAUUUAAAAUUGUUGAAUCGGAAAAUAAGGUUAAUAAUUUGGCUAAACAGGAAAUACAUGGAAAUGAUCACAAUGCCGCUAAAGAAGUAGAGAGUGUUUCAAUUUCUGAUAAUAAUGAUGCGGAAAUUGACAAAAAUGACCAAGAAAACAGUUCUCAAAAUGAUAUAACUGCUGAACCAAAUGAUAAACACUCAAACAUCGUUCCAGAGGUAUUUCCAUUGGAGGCAAAAAAUGCAAAUGAAUCAAUUUUGGAUAAAGAAUUGGUUGAUCAGGUCUCAAAGAGUGGUACUGACGGAUCGAAGGACAUACACGCAGAAAACAACCAAUCAUUUCAAUUCGAUGAAUCAGAAAAUACGGUUAGUGUUAGGGCGAAACGCUCUCAAGAUGAAAAUCAGAUAGUUGUUCACAAUGAAAUUCUGGAGAAUGACAAUACUACUACUAAAGCAGAAUCCAAUAUAGAUAUGACAACAGAGAAUAUUAUUCAAUCGGACGAGGAGAAUAAAAAUGAUUCCAAACUUGAUAAAAGUGACCAAGAAAACAGUUCUCAAGAUAUUACAAGGGAUGGUUCAAAUGAUAAUCCGACAAAUAACGCUGAUACAUUCUCAAGUAGCCUUAUGCCAAAGAAAGAUCCAUUGAAUGGAAACAAUACAUAUGCAUCGAGUUUAGAUAAGGAAUCCACAGCCCAGAUGUCGAACAGUGGUACUGAGGAUUCGGAAGUAAAGAUGAAUGAUGAAAAUAAAAAAGUUAUCCAUUAUGGCUUACUUGAAGAUGAUCAAAACUCUGUUGGAGCCUCAAAAAGGAUACCUUCAAAAGAGGAGGACAAGACUUUGAUUUCUGAAACUAAUGAUUCGGAUUUUGAUAAAGAUUUCCAAGAAAAAUAUUCUCAAAAGGAUGUAACUGCUGAUCCAAACAGCAAUAAAAAUGGAGAUAGGGAAUCAACUGACCAGGCUUCAAGGAUUGGUACCGACGGAUCGAAAGACAUACUUACAGAAAACGGAGAACCACUUAAAUUUGAGGAACCAGAAAAUGUGGUUAAUAUUAGGACAAACCGCUCUCAAAAUGAAAAUGAGCACCCUAUUCAUUAUGAAGUUCAUGAGAAUGAUCCCAACACUGGUAAAGCAGUAUUCGAUAUUUCAACACCUUCAAAAAGAGAAGACAGUGUUUCGAUUUCCGAAAAUGAUAGUCCCGCAAUUAAUGAGGAUGCCGAAGAUAAUUGUGCUAAUCCAAACGACAGUGAAAUUUUACAUAAGAAAUCGACUGAUAAGCUUUCAAGGAAUGUUUCUGAGGGAUCGGGAGAGAAACCGUCGGAAGAAAUACUCCAAGAAAAUAAAGAAUCAGUAAAAUUGGACGAAUCAGAAAAUUCGAUUAAUAUUAUGGCGAAACAAUCUCAAGAUGAAAAACAGCAAGUGGUCCAAUAUGAAACUCUAGAAAAUGAUAAUGAUACACCUAAAGCAGUACUCAAUGUUGUUACGACAACGGAGAAAAGUAUUCCUUCAAAUAUAGAGGCUUCUAAUGAUUCGCAAUUUGAUAAAGUUGCACAAGAAACAUUUUCUCAAAAUGGUGUAACGGCUGAUACAAAUGAUAAUCGCUCAAAUAUCACUGAUACAUUAUCACAUAGCGUUAUUCCCAAGGAAUUUCCAUUGGAAACAAACAACAUAAAUGAAUUGUUCUUAGAUAAGGACUCCACUGAACAGGUUUCAAAGAGUGACAAUGAGGUAUUGAGAGACAUAAGUGGAGAAAAUGAAGCAGUAUUUAAAUCUAAAUAUUCAGACAAUUCAGUUGACAAUAUGACGAAACGCAUUCAUGAUGAAAACAAGCAAAAUAUCGAUUUUGAAUUGCAGGAGAAUACAAAGGAAUUGAUUUCAGAUGAGCAGCCAUCUGUCCAGGAUUCAAAGGAUGGAACUGAAUAUUCAAAAGAUGUGCCUUCGAUAGAACACGUUAAUAGAGAUAAAGAACCAGAAGCUAUUAAUGAUAGCCUUAAAAAUAUUAGUAAAUUAUCACUUGAAAACUGUGGCAAUGAAGUUAGUUCUCAUUUAAAAGAAAACGAGGAAUACUUGCAGCAUGCUACAUCAGUAUUGCCAAACGAUUUAGAAGCUACAACAUCAGAAUAUAUUAUGCCAUCUACGACUACGGAUGAGACUUUGGAAACUAAUCUAGGUGGAAUGGCAGAGAAAAACAGCCAAAUCAGCAGACCAACUAUAAAUAAGUCAUCUAUUUCAAAUGAUGAUCCCGACAGUGCUGAAAUACAUGCUCACGAUACCUCAAUGAAAAAUACCUCAAUUACAGAAAACUGUGACAUACAAAAUGUUAACAGAGAGAAAGUGAAUGAUCAUAUUGAAAACAAAGAAGAAACCUUAGUUAGCAAUGACUCGUUCUUCAGAUCGGAAAUUAAUGAAAACAAUGCAAGUACAGAAAAUGCUGCGGACUCAGCAACUGUGUUGCAGUCGGAAAUAAAUAAUAAUAACACUGAAGAGAACGUAAAAAAUGAAACUAAUAACUUUGAAGAGGUUGAACACGAUAAAAACAUGUCAGGAAAACCUGCAAUAUUAUACUCAAAUCCCAGAGAAAUGUCACAUCCUGAAAACUUGGAUGAAACUAAUAACUUUGCAGAAGGUGAACACGAUAUAAAAACGUCAGGAAAACCAGCAAAUCCAAAAGAUAACUUACAUCCUGAAAACUUGGAGCCCGAAAAUAUUUUUACAAUUUCAAUGAACAAAGAUAAUACAAACAGCUCUUGCGACAACAUAGUGAUGAAUGAUAAGCUCGGUGAGGAUUUUAAUAAAAUUACUAAGCAUGAAAGUGAAACUACUCCAGUUUCUAAAAUAGAUAACUUAGGUAGUACCAUAAUUGCCGAUAGUACUAUCUCAAAUGUAAAAGCAGAUUUAGAGAAUGAUAACAUUAGUAGUGAAGAAACGGAAAAUGGUAUCUUAAGACAUGUUACAAAUGACGACGUAGAUCCAAAAUUGGAGGAAAGCAAGGAUACAAUCAACAGAGAUACCAAUGUCGACAAUAAGAGUGCAAUACCAUCUGAAGAAGUUGUUGAAAACUCAAAUGCCAUAAAAACGAAAGAAAAUAACAUAGAAUCUGAUCUUUCCAUAGACACCGCUAAAAAUCUUGAAUCUUGCGAUAGAGAUUUAAAAGUUGACAAUGAAAAUUUAGAUGAAGACGGAGCACAACCAAUUCUCGUUACUAUAAGGGACGUGCAGGUUGACAUAACUUCGGAAGACAGCCAGGGAACAUCUGAUAGAAACAUAGAAAAUAUUGAACCCGAAAUGUUAACGAUUGAUCAAGAUAUUGACGAUGCCGCACCUAAAAUAUAUCAACAUGAAGCACAUAGCUCGAAUGGUCAGCAAAAUUUGCAGUCAGCAAAAGAAUGCAAGUCGGUAGAAAAUACUGAGAACAAUGACAUAGUUGAACAUACUAACCACGAUGUAAAUAUCGUAACUAGUGGGGGAUCUGUUACAGUCGAUAAUGCUGCCACACUUGAGAACCGCAGCACAACGGAAAUAGAUCCACAAGAAUGUAAUAAUAAAAUACAAGCAUCUAACAACAGUUUGGAUGGGGUUCACAUAAUCAGCCCUACAUCAGAAACUUCAUCGAAGAUCUCCAACAACAUCGACAUGAGUAUGGAAGAAUGUCAUGAAAGUAUCAAAGAAAAGAAAAUUUUACAGGAAACGACAUUGGAAAGCUUGAACAACAUGGACCCACCAACUACUGAACGGAGCAAUGAAGUAGUCCAAAUAAAGAAGGAACUCCAGGUAAGCGAUGACAGCAAAAGAGAAGACGCAAACUGUGUUAGAGGUCCCUCACUAUCCGAAGAAAAGAAAGAUACUAAUCUUAAACAGGUCAGCCAAGAGGUUAAUACAUUGACACAUGAUGCUCAAGUAACUAACCAAACUUCAAUGCCACAAAUUGCAAACAUUGACGAUGUUACCCGACAUGAUACGCACGAGUCGGUCGGUACACCAGAGGUAGAAUAUCGUGUAAAAAGAGAUACGAUUCUCAUAUCAGACACAAGCCAUUUGGAUGAUGGACAAAAUGAAAAAGGAAUGUCUGAUACAAAUCGACAGCUAGCAAUGUGUACGAGUAUGGACGAGGGCGGACACAAUACACAAUCACAGAUUACUAACGUUGCUGAAACAGAUGACAAUAAAGAUAUGACCGGAAAUAAAAAAGCAUCGGACGUGGUGAAGGACAAAUUAGAACAUCAAAAUAAAAACGAUGGCAAUGUUGCGAAUGGUAGCGUCAGGAAAGAAGAAGGAGCAUCAGACGAUAUUGGCAACAAUCCAACUGAAGCUUCUAUUGGCAAUCAAAAUUUACUAACUGGUAGAAAUAAACAUGGUCUCCAAGAAAGAUUUUCUGAUCAAGUGUUUGCAGAAACGCAUUUACGCUCUUUUUGGAAAGAGCACAAACUGAAUAACGAUAUCCCUCUAGGAAUCGAAGUUUGUAACCAAGUGGAUGACAAGCCGCUGCAACACAAUGAACCGGAAAUAGCGGAAAAGAUUUCGUACGAUAUCCCUCUAGGAAUCGAUGCUUGUAGCCAAGUGGAUGACAAGCCGCUGCAACAAAAGGAGUUGGAACAAAAUGAGCCGACAAUAGCGGGAAAGGUUUCGUACAAUAUCCCUCUAGGAAUCAAAGUUUGUAACCAAGUGGAUGACAGGCCGCUGCAACAAAACGAGUUGCAACACAAUGAGCCGAAAAUAGCGAAAAAGGUUUCGGACGACAUCCCUCUAGGAAUCGAUAUUUGUGACCAAGUGUAUGACAAGCCUCGUCAUGAGCCCUUUUCAAAUUUACCUACCGAUGAUGAGCAUAAAACCGAGGGCAGUAAAGAGGAACCAGAUAUUAGCGAAGAUCUUACGAAUUCAGUUAAAUUUAAAAACCUGAACCAAGAAAGAAUUCCCAGAUAUUUUAAUGGGGUCCCGCCGGUGUCAUCAAAGGAAACUUUACUACCGAAACGUAAACUCCAUAAGGAAGGUACUGCUUUUACAAUACCAUUCCAUAAUAAGAAGAAAAACAUACGAACAAAAAAAUUAAUUGACAAUAAUGACUCUGACACCCAUGAAGGUGUACAAAAUACAGAAGAGAUUGAUUUCCUGUUGGAAGCGGAAUCUCCAACCAAGUUAUUUGACGAACUCUUUCAAUUUGAAAACGAUAUUGAAGAUUUCGACCGAGAUAUAUCGCAGACAAUCGAUGACAUUAUUCGUCUGAAAUCGGAAAACUAUACAGAGGAAACAAGUUGCAAUACGGAUACUUUGGAUUCUUCUCUACAUAAACCGGAUACAGUUUUACAUACAAUUAUCGAAAUAACUGAACCCGAAUCUUUGAGACAUGGCGAAUGCAUAUUUAUUGCAGAACCCCUGGAAGAAAUAUCUAUAGUCAUCGAUCAUUCAGAGUGCAAUUCAAAAGUAUCUGAUACUAAAUUAUCUCAAUACGACGAGUUAAUAAACUCAGCUCCAACUCCUCCAAACGAUACACCACACAAUAGCGAUGACGAAACACAGAAGGCAUUGGAAACCAUAAAAUAUAAUACAGAAAAUAAAAAUAGUCCGGACAUCGCAGCUAGUAUUAUACAAAGAGCAUUUAAAACAUUUUUAAAUGUUCGACAGAAUGCUAAAAACACAAAAUCUACCGAGGCGAACUUAUCUGGAUUUGGGCACCAAGAUUCUGCCAAAAUAGUUGAAAAAUCACCUGAAAAUUUGCAACACUUAAAUAUAAUUGGAGAGAAAGAGAAAAUAAUGAACUUGGGAAAAAAUGUUGGGCUAUCCUCUACUCAGCCGGAAAGCUUUUGUGAUGAUACAUUUAAGCAGGCUGAAGAAGAAGUUGCUGCUAAAACAAUACAAAAGGCUUUCCGAAAAUUCAUGGAGAGCAAAGGGACUCAGCAUAUCAACAAGCCUCAAAUUUAUUUAGAUCAUUCCAAAGUUAUUGAGGAAAUGGAGACCAGAGAUUCUACUGGGCCCGAAAGCUGCAUUGAUAAUUCACAUAAGCAAAGUGAAGAAGAAGCUGCUAAAACUAUACAAAUUGCAUUCCGAAAAUUUAUGAAGGGCAAAAGAACGGAACAUAUCAACAUGCCUUCUACAGAACAUUUAGAUCUUUUAAAAGACAAGGAGGAAAUCGAGACCAGAUAUGCUACUAGUCACGACAUCUGUAGUCAUGAUUCUCUUAAGCAAACUGAAGAAGGAGCUGCUAAAAUUAUACAAAAGGUAUUCCGAAAAUUCAUAAAAAACCAACGGACACAACAUAUCACCAAGCGUUCUAUGGAACAUUCAGAUCAAUUAAAAAGUAAAGAGGAAGUACAGACCAAAGAUUAUACAGGGCCCGAAACAUGUACUGAUGAUUCACCUAAGAAAACUAAAGAAGAAGCUGCUAAAACUAUGGAACAUUUAGAUCAUUCUAAUGUCAUGGAGGAAAUAGAGGCCAGAGAUUCCACUGUGCCAGGACGCUGUAAAGAUGAUUCACAGAAGCAAACCGCAGAGGAAGCUGCUAAAACUAUACAAAAGGCAUUCCGGAAUUUCAUGAAGAGCAAACGGACACAACAUAUUACCAAGCAUCGAAUUGAUUUAGAUCAUUCCAAAGAUAUGGAGGAAAUGGAGACCAGAGAUUCUACUGGGCCCGAAAGCUGCAUUGAUAAUUCACAUAAGCAAACUGAAGAAGAAGCCGCUAAAACUAUACAAAUUGCAUUCCGAAAAUUCAUGAAGGGCAAGAGAACGGAACAUAUUAACAUGCCUUCUACAGAACAUUUAGAUCUUUUAAAAGACAAGGAGGAAAUAGAGACCAAAUAUCCUACUGGUCUCGAAAUCUGUAGUCAUGAUUCUCUUAAGCAAACUGAAGAAGCAGCUGCUAAAAUUAUACAAAAGGUAUUCCGAAAAUUCAUAAAGAACAAACGGACACAAUAUAUCACCAAGCGUUCUAUGGAACAUUUAGAUCACUCAAAAGGUAAAGAGGAAGUACAGGCCAAAGAUUAUACUGGGCCCGAAAUACGUACUGAUAAUUCACCUAAGCAAACUGAAGAAGAAGCUGCUAGAAUUAUACAAAAAUUAUUCCAAAAGUACAUGAAGAGCAAAAAGACGCAACAUACCACCAAGUCUCAAAUUGAGUGUAUAGAUCAUUCUAAAGUUAAGGAGGAAAUGGAGACCGGAGAUUCCACUGAGCCAGAAAGCUUUUGUGAUGAUUCGUUUAAACAAAUUGAAGACGAAGCAUCUAAAACAAUAAAACAUUUAGAUCAUUCAAAACUUAAGGAGGAAAUAGAGGCUAGUGAUUCGACUGAGCCAGAAAGCCAUGAUUUACAUAAGCAAAUUGAAAAAGAAGCCGCUAGAACUAUACAAAAAGCAUUCCGAAAAUUCAUAAAGAGUAAAAGGACAGAACAUAUCGACAUGCCUCCUACAGAACAUGUAGAUCAUUUAAAAAGUAAUGAGGGAUUAGGGAACAGAGAUUCUAAUCAGCCAGGAAGCUUUUGUGAUGAUUCACUUAAGCAAAUUGAAGACGAAGCUUCUAAAACUACAGAACAUUUAGAUGAUUCGAAAGGUAAGAAGGAAAUAGAGACCAGACGUCCUACUGGUCACGAAAUCUGUAGUGAUGAUUCUAUAAAGCGAGUUGAAGACGAAGCUGCUAAAACUAUAGAACAUUUAGAUCAUUCAAAAAUUAUGGAAGAAAUAGAGGCCAGAGAUUCUACUGGGCCACAAAUCUGGAAUGAUGAUUCAUAUAAGGAAACUGCAGAAGAAGCUGCUAAAACUAUACAAAAGACAUUCCGAAAAUUCAUGAAGAGCAAAAGGACAGAACUUAUGAACAUGCCUCCUACAGAACAUUUAGAUCAUUUAAAAGUUAAGGAGGAAAUAAAUACCGGAGAUUCCAAUCAGCCAGAUAGCUUUAGUGAUGAUUCACUUAAACAAAUUGGAGACGAAGCAUCUAAAACUAUAGAACGUUUAGAUCAUUCACAAAUUGAGGACACAAUAGAGGCCAGAGAUUCGACAGAGUCAGAAAGCUAUAGCGAUGAAUUACAUAAGCAAACUGCUGAAGAAGCUGCUAAAACUAUACAAAAGACAUUCCGAAAAUUCAUGAAGAGCAAAAGGACAGAACUUAUAAACAUGCCUCCUACAGAACAUACAAAUCAUAUAAAAGUUAAGGAGGAAAUAGAGAUCGGAGAUUCCAAUCAGCCAGCUAGCUUUUGCGAUGAUUCAGUGAAACAAAUUGGAGACGAAACAUCUAAAACUAUAGAACGUUUAGAUCAUUCACAAAUUGAGGACACAAUAGAGGCCAGAGAUUCGACAGAGUCAGAAAGCUAUAGCGAUGAAUUACAUAAGCAAACUGCUGAAGAAGCUGCGAAAACUAUUCAAAAGGCAUUCCGAAAAUUCAGGAGUAAAGGGACAAACUAUGUUACCGAGUGGCCUUUAUCUGAGAUUUCAGAAACAACUUCUACUAGGAAAUCGAAUUGGUAUGUUGGCGAUGAACUUAUUCAGGCAAUGACUCCUUCAGAAAUUUCUUUCGAAGAGACCGAGGCUUACAUAGAGCUUAUCCCAAAUCCACCGUAUGUAGUUGGCAACGCAAUUAGUAGUAGUUUGGAACUGAAAAAUGCUAUUGAUACUAACGCAAUAUCUGCAGCACCAAUUUCUUACUAUAACGACAAUACGAUCCUGACUAACUCACAAGAGUCUAAUCCGAUUUCUAAAGAAAAUAUUUCAGACCAAACCCUUUUAGAGCCUUUAAUGAAAACGACCUCAGACAAAGUGGGUGGGGAUGGACAUUCCCCAAUGGAGGAUCCAGAAUGUGAUAAAAAAUGCUAUGAGAGCAUGGGGAAUAUUAAAACUUUCAUUCAGGAUUUUAUUGAAUCGGAAAGAAUUUAUUCCGAAAAGGUGAUUCAACAUCUUGUCAACAAAAACACGCUCAAAGACUCACAGCUUACAAAUACUAACGAAAUCAAUGCAGAAUUUCUUAAGUCCGAGAUAUCGUUUAGUAAUAGUUUGAAUUCGUAUAAAAGUCUGAUGACACGAUUUACGGAAGAAAUCGCAAGUUUUACGAAACCCAUCACUUCGCGGAAUGACGGUGCAAAUGCUGACUCUAGUCCGACAGAUAGCGGAAACGAAGCAGACGACAGCUUGUGCUGUAAGUUGAACAAAUUAGAUGAAACUGAAAUGUCGGUUGAGAAAAUGAAACAGCGUCGAAAUUCAACACCAACAAAUUUAAAUAAAUAUGGUUUCGUUAAAUAUUCUUUCGAGGAUUCGGCAAUGAGAGCAGUGUCUGAAUUUGAGAGCAACUUGGACACAGACGAAGACUGCAUAGUGGUAACCAAACUACAGACUGAAGAGUCUCGUGAAAGUUCGGCACAAAGUGACGUAAUAAUUUGCGAAGGCGGCGUGAAGGACGAGAAAAGCUCUCAUGAGCAUUCUGACAUGAAACGAAACCUACAAAACACUACAGAUGAGCCAAUGCAAAUGUCAAAUGCACCAAUGCCUCUAACGUCCACUGACAGUUUGUACUUGGAUGAUGAUACAUCGAAGAAUAUUCGUAGCAAAAUUAUGGCCUAUUCCCUUUCUGAGGCUGACUCGGAUUGUUUUGAUAAAAAUUAUACAGAUCCUGUUGUUGGAAAUAAAGUGCACACCCUAGAUUAUAUGAAUGUUUCAACGGCUUUAGUCGACAAUGGGGAUACCUCAACCGAAACCGAAUCAACAAUAGUUUCGGCUGUAACCAAACUUCAAGCGGGUGCCAGGGGCUACCUCACACGAAAACGUUUGGGUCGAACACAUGACCUAAAAUCUAGCCAAUGUGAUGAAAGCGCAAAGGCUUCUUUUGGUAACGCAGCUAUAAGUGAAUCACUUGAGUUUCUACUACGGGAAGCAGCUGCCCGAAGAAUUCAGGAAUUCUUUAGAAACAUACAUCGUAAGAAACAAACGUAUGGUAACAAAGAACAGGGAAAUAUGUUGAAUGACACACCUACAAUUGUGGAUAAUUCACUAUCGAAAAAACGAUCAAUGCUGCAGAGAGGCGUGGCUUUGCGCAACAAUUCCACACCAGAUGAAGGGAACAGCAAUGAGGGAAAUGAUAGUGGAAAAGGGAUCUCUGAGCUGGAUAGAAAGAUGGAAAAGUUUGACGGUCAGCAGAUAACUAAAGGCCUAAUUUGGUAGCAUGCGCAAAAUUCCAUACUGUUUGGGCUGAUAUUACACGUUUAGUGCACAAUAAAAGGCAAAUCGGACGAAGAUAUAUAUGGAUAAAUCGACUCAGAAUGCAGAUCAUCAAAAGGAACUAUGGGUCUAUCUCGCAGCCUUUUGUCUGUCACAAACAAAUGCCCAAAGACAUAAUAUCCUGACCACCUUGUGGUUUAGGGUAUAAAAAUGAACGAAUCAUUGGGCUGCUCACAGCGAUAAAAGUAAAAUUGAAACCAAUAAAAGGAAGUGGAUUGCAAUGAGACAAAACUCUAUGCCGGUACAAAUUGAUUCUGAAGUUUUUCGAGUAAUACCGAAGCAUAUGCGGAAGAAGAUAAAGAGUGCAG